rnacentral:rRNA from 1 species
GAAUCGCUAGUAAUCGCGGAUCAGCAUGCCGCGGUGAAUACGUUCCCGGGCCUUGUACACACCGCCCGUCACACCAUGAGAGUCGGGAACACCCGAAGUCCGUAGCCUAACCGCAAGGGGGGCGCGGCCGAAGGUGGGUUCGAUAAUUGGGGUGAAGUCGUAACAAGGUAAC